GUAAAUUUAGGUAUUUUUUACCCAAAUUUUUUUUUCGUUAAGCUUUCAUCUUGCUGUAAAUUUAGGAGUUUUCUCUCUGUGUUGGUUCAUCUGCUUAUACUUUUCAAAUGUUGGUUCAUCUUAUGCAAAUAUUGAUAUGCUUAACAGCCUGCUGACGGCAACAGUGGCUGCAGAAGUGGAGGAAAUGACGAUGGUAAUUGAGGUGCAGUGGUAACAGGAGAGGUAGCAGGAGGCAGUGACCGUGGUGGCGAAGACAUUGUUGGUUGCAGAGGUUUUAUUGAAAACAAACUUAUACAUCCCAACGCAAAAGGAGAGAGGAGGCAAUGGCUAGCAUUGUUGAUAACGCACUUCUCUUUGGAAAGAAACAUGUUUGGUCUUCAAUACACCAUUUAAAUGUGAAGGAGGAAGUUCCCCUCUCACAUGGUUAGAGCCGUAUAGGUAAAUGAUUCUUUUUUCUUUGAUCAAGUAUUUGGUACUUUACCUUAUGUCUAAUGCCUUUUGUUGCUGUUUGUUUGUGUUAACUGAUAUUUUUGAAUCUUUGGUAGUAUUUUUAUACUCUUUUGGAAAGAAAUAAUUUAUUUUAUCCUGUGUUUUUUUUUCUCAAAUAAAUCCAUGAUUUGUUAAUUGUU